rnacentral:misc_RNA from 1 species
GAUGAGAACGCAGCGAAAUGCGAUAAGUAAUGUGAAUUGCAGAAUUCAGUGAAUCAUCGAAUCUUUGAACGCACAUUGCGCCCCCUGGUAUUACGGGGGGCAUGCCUGUUCGAGCGUCAUUUCACCACUCAAGCCUCGCUUGGUAUUGGGCAACGCGGUCCGCCGCGUGCCUCAAAUCGACCGGCUGGGUCUUCUGUCCCCUAAGCGUUGUGGAAACUAUUCGCUAAAGGGUGUUCGGGAGGCUACGCCGUAAAACAACCCCAUUUCUAAGGUUGACCUCAAAUCAGGUAGGACUACCCGCUGAACUUAAGCAUAUCAAUAAGCGGAGGA